rnacentral:lncRNA from 1 species
AGACGGACCAGACGAAAGAUGCCCUUUGUGGUCUCUUUGGACCAACAAGACUCUGUGAUCAUAGAGGAAUGUGAGCAUGAAUGCCAGGUUCCCACCAAGUGCUGGUCUUCUUCCUGCAAACUUUCUGCACUCCUAACUCCACCGCAGCAUCUGCCUUCUGGAGAACACAGCUGUCACACCUGUGUUAAGCUCCAAAGCGCUGGAGGUACCUAGUGCCUGGAUGAAACUAGAGACAUGGAGAUAUUGCACCCAAUAGGACAAGGAUGAAUCCAGCCCACAGGCCACCAGAGAGGAGGAAUACAGCUAAGUGGCUGAGGGCAUGGAUGCUAGCAGCUGGCACCAGCGCUAACCAAGGGCUUAUCAGGACAAGGGAGGCAGCUCCCCUCCAUGCCAGCCAACUGCACUUAGGUGACGAUGCUGAGGAUUUCUGCAGUCUAAGUUACUCUGAAGCUUGGGCAAAUUGUUUUACUGCCUUCAGCCUUAGUUACCCCAUAUAUAAAAUGGGAUAAGUGACACGUGUUGUUAAAGUUCACCUUUCAUCGGACCCCAAAAUGAUUCUAGAGAUAGAGAGCAGAUUAGGGGUCGCUUAGGGCUGAGGAAGAUGGGGCUAUAGGAGGCUGAUAGCUAAAGGGCACAGGGUUUCUUUCUGAUGUGAUGAAAAAGCUCUAAAAUUGACUGCGGUGAUGAUUGCAUAACUCUGUGAAUAUACUCAAAAAUCACUGAAUUGUACACUCUGAAUGAGCGAGUUGUAUAACACGUGAAUUGUAUUUCAACCAAGCUGCUAUUUUAAAACACUUAGCUCAAUGAAUCAUUGCAAGAUGAAUAACCCAUGUAACCAUCACCCAAGUCAGGAAAUGGAAUAUUCUAGAAUCCCAAAGUCCACCUACCGCCUGCGAGGACAUGUAUUUUUUGUUUGUUUGUUUAGUCUCCUGUCCCCAGAAAUCUUAUGGCACAUCUCUGAAAUAGGUCAUUUGGUGUGACUGGUAUUAACUUCCACUGGGUCUGCAAGGAAACAUGGUGGCCUCCCUGGUGAUCCUUCUCAUGAAACACAGAGUUCAUUCCUAGCGUCCUAUUUUAAAAGGGAUACUGGCAAAUCUGAGCCCAUCCCAAAGGUGUGUGAACAGAUGAGGAGAUCUAGUGUUCACAUGAACAAAAGCUGAGGAUCCAGGUCCACAUAGCCUGGAGAAAAGAUUUCUGGGGGACCGAAUUGUUGUCUUUCCAUAGUAAAGGGUUACCACAUGGAAGUGAAGGCACCUGUGCUUUGUCACCCACAGGGCAGAUCUAGGAAACAGGAGAUGGGGCAGUGCCAACAUGUAUAGUGUCCAGCAUUACAUAUGGCACGUGACACACAAAUACCACCAGAGUCAUUUAUCAAGGGCCUAGUACAUGUCGGGCUUUGCGUGUUCUCUCGAAUCCUCACAAAGACCUUGUCAGAUGGGUAUAAUAAUCCAUGUUUUGCAAAAGAGGAAUGAACUGGGAGAAGAAGAUUUGCCAAUGGGGACAGAUGAGACAGUGUGGCCCUCUUAGGCGCCAACAUCUUUAUCCUGCAUUAAAUGAACAUGCAAGCUUGUCCAACAGACAGGCAUCAAAGGCUGUUUAGAAGAGAAGGGAAAAGAAAUGGAGAGGGAGCAGGGGACCUCCCAAGCUCAUUGCAGGUGUGUCCCUAAGAACUCCAGAGGCCCGGCCAGGUACAGUGGCUCACGCCUGUAAUCCCAGCACUUUGGGAGGUGGGCGGAUCACGAGGUCAGGAGAUGGAGACCACCCUGGCUAACACGGUGAAACCCCGUCUCUACUAAAAAAAUACAAAAAAAUUAGCCGGGCGUGGUGGUGGGCGGCUGUAGUCCCAGCUACUCGGGAGGCUGAGGCAGGAGAAUGGCGUGAACCCGGGAGGCGGAGCUUGCAGUGAGCCGAGAUUGAGCCACUGCACUCCAGCCUGGGCGACAGAGCAAGACUCUGUCUAAAAAAAAAAAAAAAAAAAAAAAGAAGAUGAUGAUGAAACUGAGGAUUAGGAAGGUUAAGCGACUUGCCUGGACCAAGAUCAUCAGCUGCAUGAACCUCUUAACAAAAUGUUGGUCUAAAAAGCUAUGUCAGGCUUAUUCCUGGUUCCUCGUCUAAGCUGCUGUGACAUUCUUCACACACGUCACCCUUUCCCUGGCCUUAGUUUCCCAAUCUUUGGGCAUGGGGCCUGAGCAGAGGGCUGUAUAGCGGCUUGAGCAAGUGGUCUGGCGAGAAGAAAGUGCCUUCUGAAAUUGAGUCUGUUCUGUGGCAGCGUUUGGGUGGAGCCCCCGAUUUUGGCCCAAAUUGCGCAAAUAGUUGAUCAUAAAGAAGAUUAAACAGACAAGUGAGAUUUGCGCCGGUGGUCUCAAGAUGGGACAAGUUUGUUCUAGAUUUGAAAGUCAUGCUUCAGUGCUCCAAUGUAGCAAAUUUUCUGUCCCUGGGGCUCUGGGGAAACCCUUGUGUAGUAUAUUUGCUUUCAGUUUCCUUUGACAGAGGUAGGGAGCUGGUGAGUGGGGGAAACAUGCCCUUUUUCUAGGAUCCCUCAACGCUUAAUAGACGUGCAAUCACCAUCAUCCAGCAAGGGCGUUGACAGCUUCUCAACUUCUGAACAUUCACCCAGCAACCCGCGCCAUGCCCCUGCGGUCUGGCCCUUGUCCAGCCUGCUGAGCCUUCUCUGUCAGAACCUUCAUAAAAACAGGAACAGGAUCUCUGACGGCCCAGAGGCUAACUCUGUCUCCUUUCUUGCCCGUUUUACUCUGGGCCCUCCCACGUGCCCACCAAACGCUGAAGGGAAGAUUUUCU